UGGAUAACCUACCUAUAAGACUGGGAUAACUUCAGGAAACCGGAGCUAAUACCGGAUAAUAUUUUGAACCGCAUGGUUCAAAAGUGAAAGACGGUCUUGCUGUCACUUAUAGAUGGAUCCGCGCUGCAUUAGCUAGUUGGUAAGGUAACGGCUUACCAAGGCAACGAUGCAUAGCCGACCUGAGAGGGUGAUCGGCCACACUGGAACUGAGACACGGUCCAGACUCCUACGGGAGGCAGCAGUAGGGAAUCUUCCGCAAUGGGCGAAAGCCUGACGGAGCAACGCCGCGUGAGUGAUGAAGGUCUUCGGAUCGUAAAACUCUGUUAUUAGGGAAGAACAUAUGUGUAAGUAACUGUGCACAUCUUGACGGUACCUAAUCAGAAAGCCACGGCUAACUACGUGCCAGCAGCCGCGGUAAUACGUAGGUGGCAAGCGUUAUCCGGAAUUAUUGGGCGUAAAGCGCGCGUAGGCGGUUUUUUAAGUCUGAUGUGAAAGCCCACGGCUCAACCGUGGAGGGUCAUUGGAAACUGGAAAACUUGAGUGCAGAAGAGGAAAGUGGAAUUCCAUGUGUAGCGGUGAAAUGCGCAGAGAUAUGGAGGAACACCAGUGGCGAAGGCGACUUUCUGGUCUGUAACUGACGCUGAUGUGCGAAAGCGUGGGGAUCAAACAGGAUUAGAUACCCUGGUAGUCCACGCCGUAAACGAUGAGUGCUAAGUGUUAGGGGGUUUCCGCCCCUUAGUGCUGCAGCUAACGCAUUAAGCACUCCGCCUGGGGAGUACGACCGCAAGGUUGAAACUCAAAGGAAUUGACGGGGACCCGCACAAGCGGUGGAGCAUGUGGUUUAAUUCGAAGCAACGCGAAGAACCUUACCAAAUCUUGACAUCCUUUGACAACUCUAGAGAUAGAGCCUUCCCCUUCGGGGGACAAAGUGACAGGUGGUGCAUGGUUGUCGUCAGCUCGUGUCGUGAGAUGUUGGGUUAAGUCCCGCAACGAGCGCAACCCUUAAGCUUAGUUGCCAUCAUUAAGUUGGGCACUCUAAGUUGACUGCCGGUGACAAACCGGAGGAAGGUGGGGAUGACGUCAAAUCAUCAUGCCCCUUAUGAUUUGGGCUACACACGUGCUACAAUGGACAAUACAAAGGGCAGCGAAACCGCGAGGUCAAGCAAAUCCCAUAAAGUUGUUCUCAGUUCGGAUUGUAGUCUGCAACUCGACUACAUGAAGCUGGAAUCGCUAGUAAUCGUAGAUCAGCAUGCUACGGUGAAUACGUUCCCGGGUCUUGUACACACCGCCCGUCACACCACGAGAGUUUGUAACACCCGAAGCCGGUGGAGUAACCUUUUAGGAGCUAGCCGUCGAAGGUGGGACAAAUGAUUGGGGUGAAGUCGUAACAAGGUAGCCGUAUCGGAAGGUGCGGCUGGAUCACCUCCUUU
rnacentral:rRNA from 1 species